AUCAGACACACUGGAACUGAGACACGGUCCAGACUCCUACGGGAGGCANNNNUGGGGAAUUUUCCGCAAUGGGCGAAAGCCUGACGGAGCAAUACCGCGUGAGGGAUGAAAGCCUAUGGGUUGUAAACCUCUUUUUUCAGGGAGGAACAAAAUGACGUGUACCUGAAGAAUAAGCAUCGGCUAACUCCGUGCCAGCAGCCGCGGUAAGACGGGGGAUGCAAGUGUUAUCCGGAAUCACUGGGCGUAAAGCGUCUGUAGGUGGUUAAGUAAGUCAACUGUUAAAUCUUGAAGCUCAACUUCAAAAUCGCAGUCGAAACUAUUAGACUAGAGUAUAGUAGGGGUAAAGGGAAUUUCCAGUGGAGCGGUGAAAUGCGUAGAGAUUGGAAAGAACACCGAUGGCGAAGGCACUUUACUGGGCUAUUACUGACACUCAGAGACGAAAGCUAGGGUAGCAAAUGGGAUUAGAUACCCCAGUAGUCCUAGCCGUAAACAAUGGAUACUAGAUGUUGAACAGAUCGAACUGUGCAGUAUCAAAGCUAACGCGUUAAGUAUCCCGCCUGGGAAGUAUGCUCGCAAGAGUG
rnacentral:rRNA from 1 species